AUGAAGCUAAUCAGUUGGAACUGCCGUGGAAUGCUUUCGCCCACGACAAUUCGAGAGCUCUUGGAUCUUCAAGGGCGUGUGAAAGCGGAUGUGAUUUUCUUGUCUGAAUCCCAUCUGAAUACAGCUAAGGCAACUGAGCUAAGGGUGAAGCUAGGUUUUGAUCGUUUUCAUAUUGUUGAUAGUGAUGGACGAUCAGGAGGUCUUGCACUUUUUUACAACCUUUCUAAUGAAGUGGUGUUAAAUUAUGCGUCGCCUAAUUUCAUUGAUGGUUUUGUCAUGGAUGGAAUCAACGUGUCAUGGCGGCUGACUGGUUUUUAUGGAGAGCCAAACUAG
rnacentral:rRNA from 1 species